UGGGGAUAUAGCUCAGUUGGUAGAGUGCUUGCCUCUGGUGCACAGGCCCUGGGUUCAAUUCCCAGCACCUAA
rnacentral:tRNA from 1 species